rnacentral:rRNA from 1 species
ACGGGUGAGUAAUACAUCGGAACGUGCCCAAUCGUGGGGGAUAACGCAGCGAAAGCUGUGCUAAUACCGCAGACAAUCUACGGAUGAAAGCAUGGGAUCGCAAGACCUUGCGCGAAUGGAGCGGCCGAUGGCUAAUUAGGUAGUUGGUGAGGUAAAGGCUCACCAAGCCUUCGAUCUGUAGCUGGUCUGAGAGGACGACCAGCCACACUGGGACUGAGACACGGCCCAGACUCCUACGGGAGGCAGCAGUGGGGAAUUUUGGACAAUGGGCGAAAGCCUGAUCCAGCCAUGCCGCGUGCAGGAUGAAGGCCUUCAGGUUGUAAACUGCUUUUGUACGGAACGAAACGGCCUUUUCUAAUAAAGAGGGCUAAUGACGGUACCGUAAGAAUAAGCACCGGCUAACUACGUGCCAGCAGCCGCGGUAAUACGUAUGGUGCAAGCGUUAAUCUCAAUUACUGGGCGUAAAGCGUGCGCAUGCAGUUAUGUAAUACAGUUGUGAAAUCCCCUGGCUCAACCUGGGAACUGCAUCUGUGACUGCAUAGCUAUACUACGGUACACGGGGAUGGAAUUCCGCGUGUAGC